UCGUGUUAAGUGAAUUCUUGGCAAGAGUAUCAUGCUUUUUAUAGUUACGAAUGCCUCGUCAAUGCUUAUAGUUUUCACAAAGUCUAAUGAUCUUUGAUUGUAUCUCUAUUGUGCUUUUCACGUAGGGGACUUUUGAAGAAUGUUUUGAAUUGUUGUAUGCGUUUUCCUGUCCAAUUCAAUAACUUAAGGAAAACUUGAAGAUUAAAAAAGUGCUGUUCACGGUUAAUCUGAAGUGUU
rnacentral:lncRNA from 1 species